rnacentral:rRNA from 1 species
AUUGAACGCUGGCGGCAUGCUUUACACAUGCAAGUCGAACGGUAACAGGCCUUCGGGUGCUGACGAGUGGCGAACGGGUGAGUAAUGCAUCGGAACGUACCCAGAGGUGGGGGAUAACGCAGCGAAAGCUGUGCUAAUACCGCAUGUGAUCUGAGGAUGAAAGCGGGGGACCGAGCAGCAAUGUUUGGCCUCGCGCCUUUGGAGCGGCCGAUGUCGGAUUAGCUAGUUGGUGGGGUAAAGGCCUACCAAGGCGACGAUCCGUAGCUGGUCUGAGAGGACGACCAGCCACACUGGGACUGAGACACGGCCCAGACUCCUACGGGAGGCAGCAGUGGGGAAUUUUGGACAAUGGGCGCAAGCCUGAUCCAGCAAUGCCGCGUGCGGGAAGAAGGACUUCGGGUUGUAAACCGCUUUUGGCAGGAACGAAACGGUGUCCGCUAAUACCGGGCGCUAAUGACGGUACCUGCAGAAUAAGCACCGGCUAACUACGUG